AUUGAACGCUGGCGGCAGGCCUAACACAUGAAAGUCGAGCGGAGCGGCGGAAGGGUGAGUAAUGCCUAGGAAUCUGCCUGGUCGAGGGGGAUAACGUCCGGAAACGGGCGCUAAUACCGCAUACUAUCAGAUGAGCCUAGGUCGGAUUAGCUAGUUGGUGGGGUAAAGGCCUACCAAGGCGACGAUCCGUAACUGGUCUGAGAGGAUGAUCAGUCACACUGGAACGGGGACACGGUCCAGACUCCUACGAGAGGCAGCAGUGGGGAAUAUUGGACAAUGGGCGAAAGCCUGCUCCAGCCAUGCCGCGUGUGUGAAGAAGGUCUUCGGAUUGUAAAGCACUUUAAGUUGGGAGGCGUUACCAACAGAAUGAGCACCGGGUAACUCCGUGCCAGCAGCCGCGGUAAUUC
rnacentral:rRNA from 1 species